rnacentral:tRNA from 1 species
GCGAGGGUAGCCAAGCAUGGUCAACGGCGCCAGGUUGAGGGCCUGGUCCUGUAGAGGUCCUUGGGUUCAAAUCCCAACCCUCGCA